rnacentral:rRNA from 1 species
UACGUAGGUCGCAAGCGUUGUCCGGAUUUACUGGGCGUAAAGAGCGCGCAGGCGGCUGGUCAAGUCCGAUGUGAAAUCUCCCGGCUUAACUGGGAAACUGCAUCGGAAACUGAUCGGCUUGAAGGUGGGAGAGGGUAGUGGAAUUCCCGGUGUAGUGGUGAAAUGCGUAGAUAUCAGGAGGAACACCGAUGGCGAAGGCAGGUCACUGGGCCGCAACUGACGCUGAGGAGCGAAAGCAUGGGGAGCGAACAGG